rnacentral:rRNA from 2 species
ACUCAGAGCGAACGCUGGCGGCAGUCCUAACACAUGCAAGUCGAACGAACUCUUCGGAGUUAGUGGCGGACGGGUGAGUAACACGUGGGAACGUGCCUUUAGGUUCGGAAUAACUCAGGGAAACUUGUGCUAAUACCGAAUGUGCCCUUCGGGGGAAAGAUUUAUCGCCUUUAGAGCGGCCCGCGUCUGAUUAGCUAGUUGGUGAGGUAAAGGCUCACCAAGGCGACGAUCAGUAGCUGGUCUGAGAGGAUGAUCAGCCACAUUGGGACUGAGACACGGCCCAAACUCCUACGGGAGGCAGCAGUGGGGAAUCUUGCGCAAUGGGCGAAAGCCUGACGCAGCCAUGCCGCGUGAAUGAUGAAGGUCUUAGGAUUGUAAAAUUCUUUCACCGGGGACGAUAAUGACGGUACCCGGAGAAGAAGCCCCGGCUAACUUCGUGCCAGCAGCCGCGGUAAUACGAAGGGGGCUAGCGUUGCUCGGAAUUACUGGGCGUAAAGGGAGCGUAGGCGGACAUUUAAGUCAGGGGUGAAAUCCCGGGGCUCAACCUCGGAAUUGCCUUUGAUACUGGGUGUCUUGAGUAUGAGAGAGGUGUGUGGAACUCCGAGUGUAGAGGUGAAAUUCGUAGAUAUUCGGAAGAACACCAGUGGCGAAGGCGACACACUGGCUCAUUACUGACGCUGAGGCUCGAAAGCGUGGGGAGCAAACAGGAUUAGAUACCCUGGUAGUCCACGCCGUAAACGAUGAUUGCUAGUUGUCGGGAUGCAUGCAUUUCGGUGACGCAGCUAACGCAUAAGCAAUCCGCCUGAGACUGACUGA